CGGACGGGUGAGUAAUGUCUGGGAAACUGCCCGAUGGAGGGGGAUAACUACUGGAAACGGUAACUAAUACCGCAUAACGUCGCAAGACCAAAGAGGGGGACCUUCGGGCCUCUUGCCAUCGGAUGUGCCCAGAUGGGAUUAGCUAGUAGGUGGGGUAACGGCUCACCUAGGCGACGAUCCCUAGCUGGUCUGAGAGGAUGACCAGCCACACUGGAACUGAGACACAGUCCAG
rnacentral:rRNA from 1 species